UGAUCUGGUUUCGACAGGAGUAAAGCCUUCACCGGAAACUCUUGGAAGGCGGUUCGAUUCCGCCCAUUUCCACAA
rnacentral:tmRNA from 1 species